AACGAACGCUGGUGGCGUGCUUAACACAUGCAAGUCGAACGAGAAAGUUUCUUUCGGGAAAUUAGUAAAGUGGCGCAAGGGUGAGUAUCACGUGAAUAAUCUGCCCUCGAGAUCGGAAUAACAUGGUGAAAGCUAUGCUAAUGCCGGAUAAGGCCACAUUUUCAUAAGAAAUGCGGUAAAAAGGAGUCUCAAUCUUCACUCGAGAUGAGUUCGCGCAACAUUAGCUUGUUGGUGAGAUAAAAGCUCACCAAGGCUACGAUGUUUAGCCGGCCUGAGAGGGUGAACGGCCACACUGGAACUGAGACACGGUCCAGACUCCUACGGGAGGCAGCAGUGGGGAAUAUUGCGCAAUGGGCGAAAGCCUGACGCAGCAACGCCGUGUGAGCGAUG
rnacentral:rRNA from 1 species